UUGGUGGGGUGAUGGCCUACCAAGGCGACGACGGGUAGCCGGCCUGAGAGGGUGUCCGGCCACACUGGGACUGAGAUACGGCCCAGACUCCUACGGGAGGCAGCAGUGGGGAAUAUUGCACAAUGGGCGCAAGCCUGAUGCAGCGACGCCGCGUGGGGGAUGACGGCCUUCGGGUUGUAAACCUCUUUCACCAUCGGCGAAGCCCAUAGCUUGUGUUGUGGGUGACGGUAGGUGGAGAAGAAGCACCGGCCAACUACGUGCCAGCAGCCGCGGUAAUACGUAGGGUGCGAGCGUUGUCCGGAAUUACUGGGCGUAAAGAGCUCGUAGGUGGUUUGUCGCGUUGUCCG
rnacentral:rRNA from 1 species